GGCAGGGAUGUGGCUCAAGUGGUAGAGUGCAUGCCUUGCAUGUGUGAGGCCCUGGGUUUGAUCCCCAGCACUGCCA